CUGUCAUCCUUCUCGGGUCUUCCUUACCGUGGAUUGAUCGACUCUUAUGGUUGAUUUGUUAUUUUAUUUUCUUUGAUUUCCAGCGACUACCUUGGCUUUCUAAUCUCUUUAAUGGUGUUGCCACCUGUCUGAUUAAGCCAUAAUCAAUAUUCAUGGCGAAUUAAGAUCGAGCCCCCUCAAUCUCAAUUCUAGUUCUGAUCAACUUUUAUUUUGAUUUCAGUUCAGCUCAUUUUUUUUUUCCCUCAUUUCUUAUUUUGAAUCAGACCACUUUGACUUAAGUAACUUAGUCCAAUUGCUAAAAGUAGUCUGUACUCCAUAGAUUAAAAGAUUGGAUAACUUCUAGAACCAAAGAUGAAAUGGAGAAACAUACAUUCAUCAGUUUGAGCAAAAUGAAACAUGAUCUUAAAUUUGACAUCAGUUGCCAUAAGUUUUCAAUUCACAUGUAUCUGCAACCACAAAAUGAACACACACAUCACAUCACAUCAUCAGUUUUUGAGAAUAAGCUUGCAUGCAAUGAGACAAACAAAAUGCAGAUUAACUGAGCCAAGGAUGACUUCCCCAGGGAACAUUAGCAGCUGUGACAAACACAUACUGCUGAGGUUGGUCGUAGCCUCUUCUCUCACAGAACAGGAAGAUGGUGCUGACUUCCACCGCCAUGCAUGCCAACUGAGCGCCCUUGCAUGGUCCCAACCACAUGGGAAGGGUACCCAGAGAACUUGAACUCUGGCUGCUGGAAGAUGUCAUCACUGUUGGAGGCACUUGUGAUAUCUGAGCAAGAAGUGGUAGAAGCACCAUCUCUGUGAUUUUCUGGCUGAUGAAUUUCAGAUUCUGACAUAUUUCCGGCCAAAUGAAGUUCAGCAGAGCCUGUGGCAUCCAGUCCAUGGCUUGAGAGUUUAGGAUUGGACUCCUGGAGCUGUUUCGCAUUGAGAAAGCGUCCACCAGAACCCCUAGCCCUCCUCAGUGCAUGAAGGUGCCGAGAUUCAUGAAGAUAUGGCUUCAGAAAUUUCAGAGUGACAUCAAAAGAAUAACACUUCAAUCAGUCAAACAAGCACACUGCCAGAUGGUUAGCAGGACAGAGUCAAAAGGCACGUACCUUACGACUUUUUAUGAGUUUAUUUUGAGCCUCGAGCUUGGCACGAUACCUUCUCCUCCUAAGAAUUGCAUUGUACUGUUUUGCAUUGACAAAAAUGGGUUCAUCUUCUGUAAAUUCAAGAGGGAGCGGUACCCGAGAAGAAGCCAUUCCAUACAUCUGAGGAUGAUGAAUCUGGUUCCAUUUCAUUGUUAGAUAUCCCAUCAGAGGGUAAUAAAGAAAACACAUUCUUGUCCACGAAAA